UAUUUAUUUAGUCAAUUGUUAUUAUUCAUAUUAAUUUUUUUUUAUGUUUUGUUUUUUUAUGUGUGUUUAUUUAUUUAAAAUUUUAUAAUUAUUAAAUUUUAGGAAUAGUUAAUAAUAAUUUAUAAUUUUGAUUAGAUAGGUUUGUUAAUGCUAUAUAAUAGGUGUGGAAAAAAAUUAAAAAAUAAAAGAAAUAAUAAAUAUAAUAAAUAAAAUAUAAUUAGUCAGUCAGAAAUGGAUGCCAGCCGUUGCGGUAAUUUCUAUGCUUUUAAAUAUUAUACAUUUAUCAAAUUAAAUUGUUAUAAUCAAAUUUAACCAAUAAAAAAUAAAUAAUAAUAUAUUUUAUUUGUUUUUAAACACCAUUUGGUAUAUGCAAAUAUAAAAUUAUAGUAAUUAUAUAUUAUAUUCUAUUAUAUUUAUUCAUAUAGAUAGUUGUG
rnacentral:ncRNA from 1 species